UUUUGGGUGUAACAUCCACUACUGAGUCUGAAAUCACAACAGACCUGAUAACCAAUAUGUCAAGUCUAAGUUCCCAAGACAACCAUAGUUUAAAAGAUCCUGCAAACGGUGAGUCCUCAGGACGUCUUCUCUGCAACAUUACUGUAGCCAAAAUCAUUUGAUUGAUUUGAUUUUCAUUAGAUUUAUUUACAAAUCCUCAGCAUCCUUAGAAUCGACUACACUUACUGAUAAUACAGAACGUGCUUCAGGUAAAUAUUAUAAAAUGUAUAUUUCUAUAUAUAGGGUCUUAAAAUAUUAAUUGAACUUUCAAUUCACAUAUGAGCUUAAUAAGUUGAUCAAAUCAGGUGUGAAGAGUGAAAAUGUUCAGCCACAACAAGAUUAAUAAACAUGCUGAAUAUAAUACAGAUAUGCUAAUGGUCAGUUUCUUCUUUGCAGUUUUCCCCUUGAUGACUAAAGGCCCUGAAAUCAGAAAGUACUCAAAUACAAGUAAAUAACUUAACUCAGAGGAUGAGUUAUUCAAUGCAGCACAUUCAUUAGAAACCCAAAGCCACUGAAAAUUGAAGCAACAGUGCAUUUCUUGUUCAUUUUUGACAUCUUUGUCUCACACAGAAAUGUUCUUCCUCAUUGCUGUGGUUGCAUCUGGUGGAGGAAUUGUACUGACUGGACUCGUGGGCACCUGUUUGUACAGAUAUACACGAAAGUCAAAGGCAGAGAGGCCAAGAUUUGCUGAAAUGUCUGUCUGUAUUGUAGGACAUUCUUUACCAGUGGCCAGUUCAGACUCAUCUGGAGAGGAAGAUACAGUGCUUUACUCAACCAUCAACUUCAUUCAACCCCCCUCUCAACCACCAGGAAACAAUGAAGAAUCAAUUCAAAAUGAGGUUGAACUGAAUCAUUUGUAUUACACCGUCAUAACCAAACCGGCAAUCUCCAGUGACAGCAGGAGUGUUUACGCAGUCUUCUCAUUAACACAAGUUGUACCACUACUCUUUGCAUUAUGGUAUGGUACACUGAGUUAUGCUGCUCAUCCUCCUCAUCUUUACACUCUUUCUGGAGGUUCAACCUCAGUAAGUGACUACUUAAAUUUAAAAAAAUAAAAUGUUAUAUUUCAUAUUAAGUGUCUGUUCUCCUCUGCUCUAGGAUAGUAUGCACAUUUUUGUCUUCAACAUUUUUGUCAUAAUUGUUGAUUUUAGGUACUACCAAUUAUGGUCACACUUUAUAACAAGUAUACAGUAAUUAAGUACUAACAAGUCAUUUGUAAACUAUUAGUUUAUAGUUAAUUAAAAGUUUAUAAACUGUAUUUAAUACAUUAAUAGACGCUAUACAAAUAGUGAGUUCUUCAUUCAUUAUCACCGUAAUUAACCAAAUUAUUAUCGCUUAAUUAUCUCAUAUGUAAACUAAUUAACUGUUCUCACUUUCACUUAGGUCAUGGAAAAUGGGAAAAUGUUAAGCAUUAUGUAACGCUUUAGAUAUGAGCUAAUUAAAUAAUAUUAAUUGUGUUAACUACAGUGACAAUGAAUGAAGAACUCACUAUUUGUAUUGUGGCAGUAUGAAAAAACGUAAACUUGUAUCUCAAAAACACACACUUUUUUGUCACACAGUACAGACUGUUUGGUAUUUGUAUUAUCUACAACUAUAAUCAAGUGUUUAAUAAUGUUUAACAUGAUCUAAGAAUUCUAUAUUUAAUUGUUUUCUUUCCUUUUGUUUUUUUUUUUUUGUCUCUAUUAUAAUGUUAACUAUGAUCUAAGAAUUCUNUAUUUAAUGUUUCUUCCUUGUUUUUUUUUUUUUGCUCAUUACUACCUUCUACACAUUGUAUCUCAAGGAGUGUUAAAUCUGCUGAGGUUUACAUGCAUCAGUGAAACUGCUACCUUAGAGGCACCUUCCAUGUUUCUUCAAGUUUAUUCCUUGUCAAUGUUGGACUACAAAAUCGGUGGAAAGACUAUAUUGGAACUUAACCACAAAGCUGGUUUUGUUUCUUUGUUUUUUUUUCUACCAUUUUUUGAACUUGGUGGAUUGUUAAAAAUAUGAAUGUAAACCAAAGUACUAAGUUUUCUGUUUGAUUCCAUAUUGAUUGCUGAAAAUAUCUCUGUGAAACUGAGGUUGCAUUUGAACUUGAAACAGAAUGGAAAGUUUUUCUCUGUAUUUUUAUUGUUUUCUUAAAUACAGCUUUGAAACUAUGAACCUGAACUUAUUUUGUGUGGACAUUUCAUUCAAAUUAAUUUUGUA
rnacentral:lncRNA from 1 species